GAUGAACGCUGGCGGCGUGCCUAAUACAUGCAAGUCGAGCGAACGGACGAGAAGCUUGCUUUUCUGAUGUUAGCGGCGGACGGGUGAGUAACACGUGGAUAACCUACCUAUAAGACUGGGAUAACUUCGGGAAACCGGAGCUAAUACCGGAUAAUAUUUUGAACCGCAUGGUUCAAUAGUGAAAGACGGUUUUGCUGUCACUUAUAGAUGGAUCCGCGCUGCAUUAGCUAGUUGGUAAGGUAACGGCUUACCAAGGCAACGAUGCAUAGCCGACCUGAGAGGGUGAUCGGCCACACUGGAACUGAGACACGGUCCAGACUCCUACGGGAGGCAGCAGUAGGGAAUCUUCCGCAAUGGGCGAAAGCCUGACGGAGCAACGCCGCGUGAGUGAUGAAGGUCUUCGGAUCGUAAAACUCUGUUAUUAGGGAAGAACAAAUGUGUAAGUAACUAUGCACAUCUUGACGGUACCUAAUCAGAAAGCCACGGCUAACUACGUG
rnacentral:rRNA from 1 species